GAAGCAGUUAUUCAUAGAGUUGAAAAAACAGUUAAAGAAGUGAAGAAGUUACACAGAGGAAGCAGCAACGGCAGCAACCAUGCUGGUGCCUAUCCUGGUUCCUCGACACCGGGCACCCACUCGUACAGACAGGACAGGGUCUCAGCUUUCCUCUGCCCGGCCGUGGCUUCGAGCAACUCGGAACAGAAGCAACGCUCCUCUGACACGCCUCCGAGCUACCAACAAUGCCGAUCAAUGGACUAAGAAAUUCUCGCAUUCAGGACUUCACUUCUCCCCCUCCCCCACCACUCCUGUGCACUGUAAAUAAACACAACGUGAUUCCUUCAA